rnacentral:sRNA from 1 species
GGGGGGGAAAUGAGUCAUCCCGGGCCCUGAUUGUUUGAAAAAUGGAGAGGUGGAAUGAAGGGAACCCAACCUCGCUAAGGGCGCCACCCGACCUCAAUGCAGAAGCUUAUCUCAAUUCGUUGUCUGUGCGCAAUUACGCGAACUACUGUAAAUGUUAAGACCAACUUGAAGAUCUUCCUUGUUCGAGUUCAAGGAUCCAGCUUGAUAUCUUAAAGAAGUGUUGCAGGGACUGGAUUGGAUUGGAAACUGAGCUCCAGUGGGCUGCCAAUGUGUGUCACGUAAAUUAUAUAUGGAUUGGCCGUGGCUGUGUCCACUUUUUUAUUUUUUUUUCCAGGUCCAUUAGUCCUUGGUUUGUGCACAGACCACAAGUCGAAAUUGGCUUAUAUGAUGAAGUCAGAUGGCGUAUUCGUGAGGUCGGGUUUCGGUCAAGGUUCAUUCAACGGAAAGCUAGGAAAACUAUACGUAUGCAAAACCUGGAGCGUGGGUAGAUUCUAACCCUGGAAGCCUUCUCCCGUGUACAAAAAAAUAAAUAUACGUGUGAGGGAAAAGAACUAUCAAUGAUAUCAAACAAGUCCCUUAGAGCAAGGCAUCAAACUGUCUCAAGAGCACAUCAGACCCUCCGUCUGCAUUGCCUCCGAUCUCCUUGAUCCCCUCAACAGCCCAACCCAUGGCCUUCUCCCCCACAAGCUCCCAUGUUUCCUUCUCAUCCAAAUGCUUCUUGUUCAAAUACGCCAAGACAAUAAGUGUCGCGACAAUUGACCUCUGCUUCACGUUCUUGGUGUCUAUUCCAGUUCUCUUUCCCAAAAUAGCUGCCCAAUCCAGUUUGCUUUCGAUAUCAGCGGCAUUGAGCUCCAUGACUGCAAAUACAUUGCUUUCCCACUGCCACGAUCCCUCAAAGGACUGAAGUGCUAUCAAGGCGUGAACUGCAUCCUGCGAAGGCGCUGUAGGUCCAGAAUCCGUUUUGAGAAACCGUUGGAUCAGCCGAGCUCCUGGAGGUGCACGGCUGGCUUUUUUGCUUUUGCGGUGGGAAUCAGUUGUUGCUUGCUCAGUCAAAUCGUUACCUUUGUCUACUCGGCCACCUAGUCGUUCGCCACGUUCAAGCACUAAGUAACAGAAACAUCUCGUAAGUAUAUCAGAGGAGCUAGUGUACACAUCCAACACGCAAAAUUGGAAAUGCAAAAGGCGCGAUCUAUACAUGGUGAAAACUUACUCUUAUCGGGAACGACUGACGCUGAUUUGGCUCUUUUACCUAAAGUAGAUAUUAAUGAUUUAGCACUAGAAAUUGGCAAGUAAAGCGAUAAGGUGCUAGGGACUGGUGAGAAAGGGGAAGGUAUCUCAGAUGAGAGGGGUUCAUAGGAGCUAAUUCAGCGGCUGGAAAGAAAAGGGGUAUGUGUCGCACCAAAAAGGGAGGCAGCAGCGGGCCCUUGGGGCGCGGAAGCUGACCCGAAUAAAGGCUCAGAGUGAUGUGCAGCAAAAGGUGACGGAGCUGUGUGAGCUGCGGCUGUGGGGGUUGGUCCAAAUGAAAACCUAGAGAUGGGUUGACUUGGUGCACCAAAAGGCAAUGCAGUGGGCGAAGAGCUGGUCGUAGAGAAAGCAGAUCCGAAACCACCAGAGACUGAAGAUCCUCCAAACCCUGAUCCUCGUGGAUUGCUGUUUGGCGCUGAGCUACGGAGAGAGAGGGUGUUUGAAGCUGGUGGAGCUGGAGGGAACGAAGCAAGUGAAUAUGGCGGGGGUGGGGGCAGAGGGGCCUCGGAUGCAAAGGAGCCUGGAGGACUGAACGAAACCUUACCAAAAUGGGACGGAGUGGAGAGUACAUGUAUGUUGGACGAACUAACUGUGCUCUCGCAUUCUGAAUCUAUGAUCUCUUCCUCAGACUCGUCCGUAUCAUCCGCAGGGUCUCGAAUAUCCCCAGGACCAAAACCAGGAGGUUUGCCGGCUUCUGAGGCCGAUUCCCUUUUUGCCUUCCGCUCCGCUAUUUUCCCAUCAGCAGGUGACUCUACGGCGACAAAGGAGCAAUAUUUCCCAGCCACUUGAAACCCAAUUCCGAGACGGACAGCUUCGCGCUUCACGAUAUUUUCCCUUUUGCUUUCAUGCUCGUCGAUAAUCAGCUGUCCUUUCUCGUUCUUCGCAUGGUAUAUCCACCCUCGACCUUCCUCCAGCUCAAGUGUUAUUUUCCGCGCAGCCAGUUGAUGAAGCCUUGUGCCUUGGCCAAUAUUCUCUAAGGGAAUUUUCAACAUCAAAGGCCCAUGUUUUGAAGUGCCCCUGAGAACGAAUGAUUUGAGGUUUGUUCGAGGAGCGUCUGGAGAGAGGAGGAAGUAAACAGUGGUCCUGUUAAAUGGGUAGAGACUGGGUAUUUUGUAAGGCGCCUGGAGUACGUUGGGAGGUUGUACUUUAGGGAGAUCCGCUUCAAGAGGGGUGGCAGUGGCCUUGAUGUCAGGUUCCUGGUAAGAAGGGUCAAACAGGGAGAUCGGUUGCAUCGAUUUUGGAACGUCUUUCUUUGAAUCUACGUUCAUGGUUUCGGCUGGGCGUUUUGCCGGAGAACGAAAAUUUUCGCCCGCGGGAACUUCGUUUGGUUUUUCGAUAAUCUCGAAGUCGUCUUCCCCACCAUUUUCAUACACCAAUUCAGCCGUAUAAUCCUUAAUAUGCGGCGUCAAAGCCCCCUUAAGCAUGCGGACAACCUUUUUGUCCAAAAGUUCAUUGUCGUUAACGAAUUGUGCGAACCCAUCCCCAGCUCUUGCAAUGCCCUCGAUAAGGGAUUGAGACGCGCCACUGCCAAUUCCCAAGCUGAAAAGUCGAAUAGGUUGGUCAGACACCGCUUUGUUAAUGUAGCUAAAGAGCGUGUUCUGGUCCCAAAUUUCACCGUCCGAGAGUAACAGAAUGUCCAAAUCCAGGUCUUUGAGACGCCUUUCCACCGUGGCCCGUACAGGGGCAAGGAUUUCUGUUCCUCCAAGAUUGGCAGACACCGAAUCCACAUAUUUAAGUGCAGCCUUUAGUGAGGAAGCAUCGUAUGCUUGACUUUUCUUCCACAUGAAUGAAUGGGAGGAGCCAAACGAGCAAAUAUUAAACUUGACACCAACUGGUAGGGAUUUGAGGAAAACCCUCAAUGCUGUCUGAAGUGUCUGAAUCUUCCCCCCCAUGCUACCACUUCGAUCGAUUAUGAAAACGAUUUCUGGGUUAUUGUUUGGUAUGUUGAACUUGGGAACAAGCGUUGCCAUUAUAGCUCGCUGGUUGGGAAUAGUCGGUCUUCAUCAAAAAACAAAUUUCCUUGCUGCAUCGUUAGGGUCGCAGAAGCGAGAUUCGCUUCAAAUACGUCUUGAGCAGCAACUGACGUCCGGCCUAGUGUGAUUGCGAUGGGGUGACUUGGUGAUUGUAAACCGCGGAUGCUCGAUCCUUUGUCCACUGAAACAUCCACAGUGAUGUUGAUGGCGCCUCUCUGUACAAGGGUCGCUAAGGAUUGACUCAAUUCGUGAGUGUCGACAGAAGAAUUUGCGUAGCGAGGACAGAUGAUGCUGGGAAUGCUGAAACGGACGCCAUCCGAUUGGGCAUCGUGUUGUAACUCGCCUAGAUAUAUAAUCUCCACAACUGCUUUGGAACCGACGGGGAAUUUUCCUAUGCUGGUGGUGAAAGUAUCAGAUGCCAAGGUGGACUGCUCAAGCAGAGCUGCAGCCUGGCCCUUCUGGACAGCCUGCUGGUAUUCAAUUUUAGCCUUCCCCCGUUCUUUCACGAUCCCACGAAUGACUCGAUUGUCAAUUUCGCACUUAAAACCCACAAUGCUGACGCCAUCGUGCAAAGGAAAGGUGUACUUGACAUCUCCUAGGUCUCUUGAUGUGGGGUUGAUGAAAGUCUGGGUUAAGAUUGUCCUGGAAGAAGCUGAUAAUAUGGUUGAAUGGGCUUUGAGGUCGACUUGAGGGAUGUAUUGGCGCGUUGUGGUGGCCAGAUACCAACAACCACACAGCGGUUGCAGACUUCCGUGGCGGGGCAUGAUUGAGGGAUAGGAUGAUGUAGAUAUACCGUCCAAUGCGCAGUAUUAGUACUUGGAGAUGGUAGCAAGAAGAUAAGCCUCUCGAAUAUUGUCCUCAGAAAAAGGCUUGAUGAAUUGGACACCACAACAUUGGCAUCAAUGACAAAACUUUGAAAGAUUGUUGCGAUCGAGGCAACCUUUUAUCCUUCUUGCAGCCUUCUCAGCCUUGAAGAGAAGGAGGCGAGGAAGACCAAUCAUCGGCAUGGCUGCUUCGUCCUGCGAUGGAUAGUGGCUCAGACGAGAAUGGGAUGGAUCCUGAGGCUUCGAGCUAGCGAUGCAUGAGUAAGUCUCCACAAAGCUGGCGAUUGGCUCCGUCCCCGCUCUCUCAAACAAGAAAGAACUUUCUCUGUUCGUAACGUGGAGGAAACAGAGUUUUCGCUCCGAGGCGUCAUGGUGGCAUCUUGUUGCCUGGUGUCGCGGUGCUUGGGUCUGUUGCCUAUCCUUCCCAUCUUCUGCGUGAAGAACUUUAAAAGGUUCAAGGCAGCUUGGUCCCGUGACCAGCCCAGCGAUGGGACGUUCAUCAUUGAAAAUCUGAAAGUAAUAGUUGACAUGUGGAACAUACGAUGGCUAAUGUAAGCCCCUGCUCACGGUAACUAGAAAUUUAUAUGCUUAGUAUGGUACAGAUCCGUUAUUUUAUUCCGCGAGGAUCAGAUUUCAUUUGAGCUCCCUCUUCGUGACUCUCCUCCCAAUGCUCCCAUCACAUCUCCUUUCCCAGCAUCUCCCCAGUGCACUCUCUCUAUCCCCCCAGCCCGCUCGGAAAGAUGUCGGAAUCCAUCAGAAACAAGAAAGUGGAAUUUCCCACAGCCCCGUACGUAUACCUCCAUAAAUCAAUUUAAAAGCUGACGCAUAUAAAACAAACUAAAUAGGUGUUAAUUGAAAAAAAAAAAAAACCUUUUGCUAAAAUCAACUCAAGAAUAUUGAAAUCGUAGUCAACCGACCGGUUAUAAUCAAGAAGUAAUAACUUUUGAUACUACCCAAAUGUCCUUUUGAUAUUCAAAAAUUGUAAGAAAAAUAUAAAGUUCAAGGGGAGAAACUCUGA